UUACUUACCUAGCAGGGGAGAUACUGUGAUCCCAAAGGUGGUUUUCCCAGAGUAAGGCUCACCUAUUGCAUGCUGGGUGUGCUGGCCCUUGUGAUUUUCCCAAAUGUAAGAAACUUGACUACGUAAUUUGUGGUUAUGGGCUG
rnacentral:snRNA from 1 species